rnacentral:rRNA from 1 species
CAGCCGCCGCGGGAAUACGAAGGGGGCUAGCGUUGCUCGGAAUGACUGGGCGUAAAGGGCGCGUAGGCGGCGAUCAAAGUCAGGCGUGAAAUUCCUGGGCUCAACCUGGGGGCUGCGUUUGAUACUUGGUUGCUAGAGCGAGGAAGAGGGUCGUGGAAUUCCCAGUGUAGAGGUAAAAUUCGUAGAUAUUGGGAAGAACACCGGUGGCGAAGGCAAUCCCCUGGACCUGUACUGACGCUCAUGCACGAAAGCGUGGGGAGUAAACAGGAUUAGAUACCCCAGUAGUCCCUGUCUCUUAUAC